UUUUUACAAUCAUUUUUAAUGAAGGGUAAAAAACAUUUAUAACCUUUUGAUUAACUUUGACAAAAAAAAAAUCUAUGGUUAACUACUCUAAACUUAAAACAUCAACUCUAAACCCUAAAUCAUCAACUCUAACCCGAAACCAUGAAACAUAAACUCUAAACCCUAAACCCCGAAAUAUCAACUCUAAACCCUAAAUCUUCAAAUCUAAACCGUAAAACAUCAACUCUAAACUCUAAACCCAAAACCCCAAAACAUCAACUCUAAACCCUAAACCUUCAUAUCUAAACACUAAAACAUCAACUUUAAACCCUAAACCCCGAAACAUCAACUCUAAACCCUAAACCCUAAACCUUCAAAUCUAAACCCUAAAACAUCAACUCUAAACUCUAAACCCUAAACCUUAAAACAUCAACUCUAAACCCUAAACCCUAAACCUUCAAAUCUAAACCCUAAAACAUCAACUCUAAACCCUAAACAUAAACCCUAAACCCUAUAUUUUCCGAAAUUCGAACCUAAAACCCUAAACUCUAGGGUUUUAGGGUUUAGGGUUUAGACUUUAGGGUUUAGAGUUGAAGGUUUAGGGUUUAGAGUUGAUGUUUUAGGGUUUAGGGUUAAUUUUUUAGGGUUUAGGGUUUAGAGUUUACUCUUUAGAAUUUAGGGUUUAGUGUUGAUAGUUUAGGGUUUAGUGUUGAUGGUUUAGGGUUUAGAGUUGAAGGUUUAGGGUUUAGAGUUGAGGUUUUAGGGUUUAGGGUUAAUUUUUUAGUGUUUAGGGUUUAGAGUUUACUCUUUAGGGUUUAGGGUUUAGAAUUGAUGUUUUAGGGUUUAGGGUUAUUUUUUUAGGGUUUACGGUUUAGGGUUUAAAAUUGAUGUUUUAGGGUUUAGAGUUGAAGGUUUAGCAUUUAGGGUUUAGAGUUGAAGAUUUAGGGUUUAAAGUUUACUUUAUAGGGUUUAAAGUUUACUUUAUAGGGUUUAGGGUUUAGAGUUGAGGUUUUAGGGUUUAGGGUUUGUAUUUCAAAAACAUAUAAGGUUUAGGAUUGAUGGUUCAGGGUUUAGAGUUGAAUUUUAGGGUUUAGGGUUCGAAUUUGGAAAUAGUAUAAUUUGAA
rnacentral:lncRNA from 1 species